CGAUAGAAGGAUAGGUCAGUCUCGAAUACCCCGCACUAUACAACAUAAAGGAGGUAGAGCCGGAUGAGCCAAAGAUUUUGAUGUCAAACCAAAUUUUGUCCUUGUUGAUGAUGUUGAGGUUUCUCCUUAGGAUGAUAAUGAGGUUCCUCCAAAGAAUGAUAUAGAAGUUCCUCCUUACGCUGAUACAAAGAUUCCUACAGCUGAUACAAAGGUGGUGGCUUGGGUUGAUACAAAGUUGUUUGUCCACACAUAUGAAGGAUUUUUUAGAGGGCCUAAUGACCCUAUCUGGCUAACUAAAUAUAUCAAUCAUGUGGCAUUUAGAUUAUGAUACAGAGGUAUAAAUAUUUGAUUUUAUAUUGUUUUUGUUAAUAGGAAAAAAAUAUGACCUAAAAGAAUCCAUCCAGGAAAAAAAUGUGACCUAAAAGAAUCCAUCCAAAUGCGUUGUCUCUAAAAGCAUCUUUUUAGAGCGUAUGUUUAUAUAUACAUGUUAUCAGUCUUUCAAACUCUAUUCAACAAUCUAUCCUGGAAUUUUUUAAAUCCUUACAAAAUCUCUCUUUUAUUCAAUUAUUAUUGUGUUUGGUCACACAAUCAAUUUGUUUUUUGAUACUUCACUCUCUAGUCAACAAUCUAUGUUUGAUUUUUAUAAAUCCUCCCAAAAACCUCUCUUUUAUUCAAUUAUUAUAUUUGGUCACACAAUCAAUUUUUUGAUACCGUCAACUUCACUGUCGUAAUAAAUUAUACAUAAUAUAUAUGUGAAUAGAGUUUUAGUGCAUUCUAGAUGUUUUAUAGAUGAAUUUAAACUCUUGUGCGUCAAAAUUAGAUGAAUUUAAACUCUUGUGUGCGUCAAAAUUUUGAAAUUCUGGCUAAGUUUUAUAGAUUAACUUAAGCUCUCUUGUAAUAUAUUGUGCACCCAAAUCUGGAAAUUUAAUUAGAAUUUUUGUGUUUGAUGGACGUUUCUUAUAAAAAUCUAAACUGUACGAGGAGGGCGAUUUUGGAAAUUCUGGGGGUUUGAGAUCACUACUAAGAGGGCAAUGAGAAACCCCCUUACUCUAUGAAGACCUUGUGGAUCACUCAAGGGGUGUUUGAUCAUAUUGAUACUUCUAUUCAUCAAUUUAUAUGGAGGAGGAAACAUAGCCAUUGGGGUGAAUUAUAAGAUUGUUUCUCAACCUAAGUGCAAUGCGGGGUCCCUCAGAACAUUAAGAUUUGGUUGCAGUCUUCUUCAUGUAUUUAUUGGGUUACGAGUGGAUAUCAAUGGUGGACUUUCAUUCCUUUGAUUUUGGAAGUCCAACCUAGCAAGAGACUUGGAAGUGGAUAUGGAAACUUGAAAUUCCCCAAAACUGGAUACACUUCACUUGGUUAUUAAUGCAAGGAAGCCUUCAGACAGGGAGAAUAUCUUGUGAACGAGAAACAAAGAUCAUACAGAACUCCAUCCAAAUGACAGGUAAAUUGGGAAAAACAGAGAAUCAACCUCAUUCAGUUUUACCUGCCUUGAGUGUGUCAUCCAUACGCCACUCCAAUAAGCACUUUUAAACGGUUCUCAGACGCAUAUUCAUCUAUGCUUGGGAAGCUUACAAUUCAUACAAUAUAUCAACUCUUUGUGUACAACUGAAGACAGAGACUACAUGACUCUCCAUCUCAAAAUGUGAAUUUGUACCCAAAAAACAACGGUUUACAUAGUUCAUGAUGGUGUUUUCCCUU